CCGCGUCUACUGAUAGCCCUUGAACAGCCCUCCACUGUUCUUCUGGUUUGCACAAUGAUGCGAAAGGAAAUUUCCUCGCGCUUCCUGCCGGCCUUGCGUGGCAGCCCGGAUUGAAUCGGGGAGCACACGU